rnacentral:tRNA from 1 species
AAGAAAGCAUAGUAUGCGGUUAACUUGAAAUUAACAGGUGGCAGAGUAGACCCUGCCCUUUCUCG